AUGAACGCUGGCGGCGUGCCUCAUCCCUGCAAGUCGAGCGAACAGACGAGGAGCUUGCUCCUCUGACGUUAGCGGCGGACGGGUGAGUAACACGUGGAUAACCUACCUAUAAGACUGGGAUAACUUCGGGAAACCGGAGCUAAUACCGGAUAAUAUAUUGAACCGCAUGGUUCAAUAGUGAAAGACGGUUUUGCUGUCACUUAUAGAUGGAUCCGCGCCGCAUUAGCUAGUUGGUAAGGUAACGGCUUACCAAGGCGACGAUGCGUAGCCGACCUGAGAGGGUGAUCGGCCACACUGGAACUGAGACACGGUCCAGACUCCUACGGGAGGCAGCAGUAGGGAAUCUUCCGCAAUGGGCGAAAGCCUGACGGAGCAACGCCGCGUGAGUGAUGAAGGUCUUCGGAUCGUAAAACUCUGUUAUUAGGGAAGAACAAAUGUGUAAGUAACUAUGCACGUCUUGACGGUACCUAAUCAGAAAGCCACGGCUAACUACGU
rnacentral:rRNA from 1 species